GACGAACGCUGGCGGCGUGCCUAAUACAUGCAAGUUGAGCGCUGAAGGUUGGUCCUUGUACCAACUGGAUGAGCAGCGAACGGGUGAGUAACGCGUGGGGAAUCUGCCUUUGAGCGGGGGACAACAUUUGGAAACGAAUGCUAAUACCGCAUAAAAACUUUAAACACAAGUUUUAAGUUUGAAAGAUGCAAUUGCAUCACUCAAAGAUGAUCCCGCGUUGUAUUAGCUAGUUGGUGAGGUAAAGGCUCACCAAGGCGAGGAUACAUAGCCGACCGGAGAGGGUGAGCGGCCGCAUUGGGACGGAGACAGGGCCCAAACGCCUACGGGAGGCAGCAGUAGGGAAUCUUCGGCAAUGGACGAAAGACUGACCGAGCAACGCCGCGUGAGGGAAGAAGGUUUUCGGAUCGUAAAACUCUGUUGGUAGAGAAGAACGUUGGUGAGAGUGGAAAGCUCAUCAAGUGACGGUAACUACCCAGAAAGGGACGGCUAACUACGUG
rnacentral:rRNA from 1 species